GUGUAUGGCCAUACAACCCUGAAUGCAACCAGUCUUCACUGAUCCUGGAAGCCAAGUAGUGUCGGGCCUGGCUAUUACUUGGAUGGGAUGUAUAGUAGUUGGCAUUUAUG
rnacentral:rRNA from 14 species